rnacentral:tRNA from 1 species
GCUGAUAUAGCUCAGUAGGCAGAGCACAUCCUUGGUAAGGAUGAGGUCACCAGUUCGAAUCUGGUUAUCAGCU